AUCAACGNUGGCGGCGUGCCUAACACAUGCAAGUCGAACGAGAAAGUGGAGCAAUUCCACGAGUAAAGUGGCGCACGGGUGAGUAACACGUGACUAACCUACCCUUGAGUGGGGAAUAACUGAGGGAAACCUCGGCUAAUACCGCAUAAUACCUACGGGUCAAAGGAGCAAUUCGCUUAAGGAGGGGGUCGCGGCAGAUUAGUUAGUUGGCGGGGUAAUGGCCCACCAAGACGGUGAUCUGUAUCCGGCCUGAGAGGGCGCACGGACACACUGGAACUGAAACACGGUCCAGACUCCUACGGGAGGCAGCAGUGGGGAAUUUUGCGCAAUGGGGGAAACCCUGACGCAGCAACGCCGCGUGCGGGAUGAAGGCCUUCGGGUUGUAAACCGCUUUCAGAAGGAACGAAAAUGACGGUACUUUCAGAAGAAGGUGCGGCCAACUACGUGCCAGCAGCCGCGGUGACACGUAGGCACCAAGCGUUGUCCGGAUUUAUUGGGCGUAAAGAGCUCGUAGGCGGUUCAGUAAGUCGGGUGUGAAAACUCUGGGCUCAACCCGGAGACGCCACCUGGUACUGCUGUGACUUGAGUUCGGUAGGGGAGUGGGGAAUUUCUAGUGUAGCGGUGAAAUGCGCAGAUAUUAGAAGGAACACCGGUGGCGAAGGCGCCACUCUGGGCCGAAACUGACGCUGAGGAGCGAAAGCGUGGGUAGCAAACAGGAUUAGAUACCCUGGUAGUUCACGCCGUAAACGUUGGGCACUAGGUGUGGGCCUCAACCAACGAGGUCCGCGCCGUCGCUAACGCAUUAAGUGCCCCGCCUGGGGAGUACGGCCGCAAGGUUAAAACUCAAAUGAAUUGACGG
rnacentral:rRNA from 1 species